GGACCUACGGGGCGCAGCAGUGAGGAAUAUUGGUCAAUGGUCGGGAGACUGAACCAGCCAAGCCGCGUGAGGGAUGAAGGUACAGAGUAUCGUAAACCUCUUUUGUCAGGGAACAAAGGCGGGGACGUGUCCCCGGAUGAGUGUACCUGAAGAAAAAGCAUCGGCUAACUCCGUGCCAGCAGCCGCGGUAAUACGGAGGAUGCGAGCGUUAUCCGGAUUUAUUGGGUUUAAAGGGUGCGUAGGCGGUUUUUUAAGUUAGUGGUUAAACGUCGGGGCUUCACCUUGGUUUGCCAUUAAUACUGUAA
rnacentral:rRNA from 1 species